AGUUGGUGGAGUGAUUUGUCUGGUUAAUUCCGUUAACGAACGAGACCCCUGCCUGCUAAAUAAUCCGCCGAAUGCUUUUUGCAUUGGGUAGGGUUUCUUAGAGGGACGUCCAAGAUCAACUUGGAGGAGGAUAGGGGCAAUAACAGGU
rnacentral:rRNA from 1 species